CUCAACCACUUAUGUGUCAUCUUUUCGACCUUGCUUUUGUAGGAGCAAGUGAGAAAGAUUGAAAGGUAGCACCAGUGUAUUAAUUUGUUUUCAAUAGCCAUGUUGAUCCCCAUGUGGUGGUGCUUUUGUUGCUCCUUAUUACAGUAGUGGCCUCUGAAGGAUCAGAACCACUAUUUUUUAGCUGGUAGUCCUGUCUAACCUAAUUGAGAUAUAUAGAGGAUAUGUGAAAAUUGAGAUAGGGGAAAUAAAAAGGAAGGCCUAUCUGUGUUAAUCAAUAAACAUCAUAAUAUAGUCCACAAAUUGCAAUAGAGAAAUUGAUCUGAAAAUAAUCAUUUCAUAUUUCAGGAUAGCAUGUGAGUCCUCAAGUAUUCAUUCUGUUAGAUAAAGUUUUGCGAUUUUCUGUCUCAUGGUGGAGAUGUAGAAUUUAAAACCUUACAACCUAUUUUGAAAAAGAAUUGGUAGGGACUAAGUCAUUUUUAAAACCAGUAGUUGAUUUUGAACCUACACUCAAGUCUCUCUAGGAGUUUGGCGCAGGUAUUGAUUAAUUCUAUGGUUUGGACCAUCUCAGAAGUGCUACAUGUUGGUAGGUAUAUCAGAUAUUUCCUGUUGAUGUUGAUCUGGAGAGCAGUUGUGGCGGGUAUGUAUGGUAUGUUAACAUUCUUUCAACUAUCUUCGUAAAAAUAUAUUGUCUGACAACAAAGUUUACCAUUGCAAAAGAGAACAGGAUAUUUUCAGCUUUUACUGUCAUCCAUAAAGCUUCUCUCUUAUGUUUAUACUGCUACUGAUCUGAGAUUGCAGAUGUAUUCUUUGAGGGUCAAUGUUUAGUAUGUCAUGUUAAAACAUGCAAGAUUCAUCAACAAUCCGUUGUAGUCUAGUCGGUUAGGAUACUCGGUUCUCACCCGAGAGACCCGGGUUCAAUUCCCGGCAACGGAAUGAACAUAACAUGACAUACUAAACAUUGGGUCGGUUUUAUUUUUUUUGCUACAAGAAGUGUAAUAUUGUUGUAGAUAAACGGCAAGGAAGAGAUGAUCUUAUGAGUCCAAUGCCUGCAAAGAUGAAUACAGUUUAAUGCAGAUAAACGGCAAGGAAGAGAUGAUCUUAUGAGUCCGAUGCCUGCAAAGAUGAAUACAGUUUAAUGCAGUUAGAUGCACGAAUUAUCUCGCGUUUGUACCCUCCAUGUGGAGUAAUGUAAGCAGUUUAUUCUUCUGCAAACAUGAACAAUCUAACCGAUGCUUCAAGGUGCCCUUUCAUAGACUUAAAAAUAGAUUGCCAGGACCUCUGGUAUACUCUCCGAAGCUUUCGUUUUUUUUUUAUAUAUGUAAUUGGUAUAUUCUUUUUCUCGAGGGUUCGGAACAAUAAGUCUAACAUGUCAUUGUUUACAUGUAUAAUACUUCGAUAAAUUAAGCUCACUUUUGACUAUAAAUUUUGAGAUUGAAAAUUGAAUUCUUGAAGUUGUAUCUGGACAUGUG